AACGAACGCUGGCGGCAGGCCUAACACAUGCAAGUCGAGCGCCCCCUUUCGGGGGGAGCGGCGGACGGGUGAGUAACGCGUGGGAACGUGCCCUUUGCUACGGAAUAGCCUCGGGAAACUGGGAGUAAUACCGUAUGUGCCCUUUGGGGGAAAGAUUUAUCGGCAAAGGAUCGGCCCGCGUUGGAUUAGGUAGUUGGUGGGGUAAUGGCCUACCAAGCCGACGAUCCAUAGCUGGUUUGAGAGGAUGAUCAGCCACACUGGGACUGAGACACGGCCCAGACUCCUACGGGAGGCAGCAGUGGGGAAUCUUAGACAAUGGGCGCAAGCCUGAUCUAGCCAUGCCGCGUGAGCGAUGAAGGCCUUAGGGUUGUAAAGCUCUUUCAGGGGGGAAGAUAAUGACUGUACCCCCAGAAGAAGCCCCGGCUAACUCCGUG
rnacentral:rRNA from 1 species